rnacentral:rRNA from 1 species
UGCAUAAUCCAAAAGCGGAGGAAAAGAAACUAACAUAGGGCAUUCCCCUAGUAACUGCGAGUGAAGAGGGAAAAGCUAAAAUUUAAAAUCUGGCAGCUUCGCUGUCCGAGUUGUAAUUUAGAGAAGUGUUGCCCGCGCUGGACCGUGUACAAGUCUCCUGGAAUGGAGCGUCAUAGAGGGUGAGAAUCCCGUCUUUGACACGGACUCCCAGUGCAUUGUGGUACGCUCUCAAAGAGUCGUGUUGUUUGGGAAUGCAGCACUAAAUGGGUGGUAAAUUCCAUCUAAAGCUAAAUAUUGGCGAGAGACCGAUAGCAAACAAGUACCGUGAGGGAAAGAUGAAAAGAACUUUGGAAAGAGAGUUAAACAGUACGUGAAAUUGUUGAAAGGGAAACGCUUAAAGUCCAGUCGCGUCGGUUGGGAAUCAGUCUCGCUCUCUUGCUUGACGUACUUCCCAGCUGACGGGUCAGCAUCAGUUUUGAUCGUUGGAUAAAGGUUGGAGGAAUGUGGCACCUUCGGGUGUGUUAUAGCCUCUGAUUGUAUACAACGGUUGGGACUGAGGAACUCAGCACGCCGUAAAGGCCGGGUACUUGUACCACGUACGUGCUUAGGAUGCUGGCAUAACGCCUUUAAUCGACCCGUCUUGAACCACGGACCGCA